GUGCUUGCUUCAGCAGCACAUAUACUAUAAUUGGAACAAUACAGAGAAGAUUAGCAUGGCCCCUGCACAAGGAUGACAUGCAAAUUUGUGAAGCAUUCUAUAUUAAA
ensembl:snRNA U6 U6 spliceosomal RNA